rnacentral:misc_RNA from 1 species
GAUGAAGAACGUAGCGAAAUGCGAUAAGUAAUGUGAAUUGCAGAAUUCAGUGAAUCAUCGAAUCUUUGAACGCACAUUGCGCCCUCUGGUAUUCCGGGGGGCAUGCCUGUUCGAGCGUCAUUAUAACCACUCAAGCUCUCGCUUGGUAUUGGGGCUCGCGGUUCCGCGGCCCCUAAAAUCAGUGGCGGUGCCUGUCGGCUCUACGCGUAGUAAUACUCCUCGCGAUUGAGUCCGGUAGGUCUACUUGCCAGCAACCCCCAAUUUUUACAGGUUGACCUCGGAUCAGGUAGGGAUACCCGCUGAACUUAAGCAGAUCAAUAAGCGGAGGA